CCUUGUUGUGUUUGUGGACACCACCUGAAAUUUUUUUUAUUAACAUUACUGUGACAUUUUGAAUGCAGAAAAACACCAAUGAAUGUGUCUACUUACGUUGAAUGUGUACUUUCGAGUAGCGCAAUGGACAAGUGCUGGCCAAAGGAGGACGAGUGCGAUUAAUAUCGACCGAUUGCUACUCGGACUCUCCAUUCUGUUUUUACUUCUUGCUCUGCCUCUUCC
rnacentral:lncRNA from 1 species